CCUACGGGAGGCAGCAGUGGGGAAUUUUGGACAAUGGGCGAAAGCCUGAUCCAGCCAUGCCGCGUGCAGGAUGAAGGCCUUCGGGUUGUAAACUGCUUUUGUACGGAACGAAAAGACUCUGGUUAAUACCUGGGGUCCAUGACGGUACCGUAAGAAUAAGCACCGGCUAACUACGUGCCAGCAGCCGCGGUAAUACGUAGGGUGCAAGCGUUAAUCGGAAUUACUGGGCGUAAAGCGUGCGCAGGCGGUUAUAUAAGACAGAUGUGAAAUCCCCGGGCUCAACCUGGGAACUGCAUUUGUGACUGUAUAGCUAGAGUACGGUAGAGGGGGAUGGAAUUCCGCGUGUAGCAGUGAAAUGCGUAGAUAUGCGGAGGAACACCGAUGGCGAAGGCAAUCCCCUGGACCUGUACUGACGCUCAUGCACGAAAGCGUGGGGAGCAAACAGGAUUAGAUACCCUGGUAGUCCACGCCCUAAACGAUGUCAACUGGUUGUUGGGUCUUCACUGACUCAGUAACGAAGCUAACGCGUGAAGUUGACCGCCUGGGGAGUACGGCCGCAAGGUUGAAACUCAAAUUGAAUUGAGG
rnacentral:rRNA from 1 species